rnacentral:rRNA from 1 species
UACAGAGGUCUCAAGCGUUGUUCGGAUUCAUUGGGCGUAAAGGGCGCGUAGGCGGCCCUCUAAGUCAGACGUGAAAUCCCUCGGCUCAACCGGGGAACUGCGUCUGAGACUGGAAGGCUUGAAUUCGGGAGAGGGAUGUGGAAUUCCAGGUGUAGCGGUGAAAUGCGUAGAUAUCUGGAGGAACACCGGUGGCGAAGGCGGCAUCCUGGACCGAGAUUGACGCUGAUGCGCGAAAGCCAGGGGAGCAAACGGG